CGGAGGAAAAGAAACCAACAGGGAUUGCCUCAGUAACGGCGAGUGAAGCGGCAACAGCUCAAAUUUGAAAUCUGGCCCCCCUCUGGGGGGUCCGAGUUGUAAUUUGCAGAGGGCGCUUUGGCAUCGGCGGCGGUCUAAGUUCCUUGGAACAGGACAUCGCAGAGGGUGAGAAUCCCGUACGUGGGCGCCUGCCUUUGCCGUGUAAAGCCCCUUCGACGAGUCGAGUUGUUUGGGAAUGCAGCUCUAAAUGGGAGGUAAAUUUCUUCUAAAGCUAAAUACCGGCCAGAGACCGAUAGCGCACAAGUAGAGUGAUCGAAAGAUGAAAAGUACUUUGGAAAGAGAGUCAAAUAGCACGUGAAAUUGUUGAAAGGGAAGCGCUUGCAGCCAGACGUGCGCGCGGUUGCUCACCCCGGCUCUCGCCUGGGGCACUCUUCCGCGCGCAGGCCAGCAUCAGUUCGGGCGGUCGGAUAAAGGCCUCUGUCAAGUACCUUCCCCCGGGAAGGCCUUAUAGGGGAGGCGCAAUGCGACCAGCCCGGACUGAGGUCCGCGCAUCUGCUAGGAUGCUGGCGUAAUGGCUGUAAGCGGCCCGUCUUGAAACACGGACCAAGGAGUCUAACAUCUAUGCGAGUGUUUGGGUGUCAAGCCCGGGCGCGCAAUGAAAGUGAACGGAGGUGGGAUCCCCUUCCGGGGUGCACCAUCGACCGAUCCUGAUGUCUUCGGAUGGAUUUGAGUAAGAGCAUAGCUGUUGGGACCCGAAAGAUGGUGAACUAUGCUUGAAUAGGGUGAAGCCAGAGGAAACUCUGGUGGAGGCUCGCAGCGGUUCUGACGUGCAAAUCGAUCGUCAAAUUUGGGCAUAGGGGCGAAAGACUAAUCGAA
rnacentral:rRNA from 1 species